rnacentral:rRNA from 1 species
UUUUUUCAUUAUUUUAUUUGCUGCACGCGAGAAACAUGAGGCACGUGCGCGAUACGUAUUGAACGCACGUGCGGGGUAAAUAGUAAAGAUGGUUUUUCUUUCUGACAUUUGCAGUGAGUUGCAGCUUGCGGAUCGAUGUUGACGUGUGUAGGGGCGGCGUUAUGGUGGGAGAGGCACCGCUCUCUGAAAUCGUUCGACGGCGUGUGAAAACUCGUGGCAACGUUGCGACGGAGAAGGAGGGGUGAAAACCGUGGUAAACGUGCGAAUGGCUGUUGAGGUGGAGAGAAAGUAGUAUGGUGAAGUAUCGAGCAGUGGCAAGGAAUGGAUGGUAGAGUUUGUAGUGGAGCUAGGAGGGCCGAGCAUAAGGGACGAAGGGAUAUGAAACAUGUCGGAUGCGAUCAUACCAGCACUAAAGCACCGGAUCCCAUCAGAACUCCGAAGUUAAGCGUGCUUGGCCGAGAGUAGUACUAGGAUGGGUGACCUCCUGGGAAGUCCUCGUGUUGCAUUCC